rnacentral:rRNA from 1 species
AUUGAACGCUGUCGGCAGGCCUAACACAUGCAAGUCGAACGAUUGGCGGACGUGUGAUUAAUGUCUGGGAAUCUGCCUGAUGGAGGGGGAUAACUACUGGAAACGGUAGCUAAUACCGCAUACCUUCAGUUGUUCCCAGAUUGGUUUAGCUUGUUGGUGGGGUAACGGCUCACCAAGGCGACGAUCCCUAGCUGGUCUGAGCGGAUGACCAGCCACCCUGGACCUGAGACACGGUCCAGACGCCUACGGGAGGCAGCAGUGGGGAAUAUUGCACAAUGGGCGCAAGCCUGAUGCAGCCAUGCCGCUUGUAUGAAGAAGGCAUUCGGUUUGUAAAGUACUUUCAGCGGGGAGGCGUUACCCGCAGAAGAAGCACCGGCUAACUCCGCGCCAGCAGCCGCGGUAAUUC